CCCUUCACCAAUGGUGCACCUUUGACUAACGAUGACCGAAAAAAAUGAAAAAGACCUAUUCGAUAAAAUUAAAACUAAAAAGUGGGAAAUGCAAAAACUACCAGCAGGAAGCAGCUUAGGGUGUUUAUUUUCUUGGAUUGGGACUAAAGGAGAUUAUGAAGGAGCCCAAAGAAAAGCAUUAACAACGAAGGGUUGGAGAAGAUACACAAGUACAUUUACAAAUGAAGGGAAACUUAUGUUAGCCCGUGCUUCAGUGUUGAUGUGGGGUGGAAUUGCUGCAUAUGUUGCCUACAGAUUUCUGAGAUCAGAAAAGAAAACCAAAUUUGAGAAUGAAACAGUUGCAUAGGAUUUUUGAAGAUUUUUUAGAAACAUAUUUAUGAUUUAGAGUCAGUCAGGGGUAGUAGUUAUACCCCAAAAGAAUCUUUAUUGGUACGGUUAAAAAGUUUUGUAGAUUUUCCGCUUUAUAGUAAUUCAAAAUUUUUUGGAGUUAUUCUCCCUUAUGGUAAUUCAAAAUUUUAAUACUUGGUGUAAGAUGUUUAUAUUUUCUUCUUUUCUUGAAUUUCUCUAAACUGAGGGUGUGGAUGGGGGUUUACAGAAUAGAGAAUAAUGGUCAAAAAAUAUAAAGAAUAGAGAAAAAUGGACCAAGGAAAUAUAUAAUAGAGUAUAAUGAGGUGCUAAAAUAUGAAGAAUAGAAAGAAAUGGGCAAAAAGUAUAAAAAAAGAGAAAAAUGGCCUAAAAAAUUAAAGAAUACAGAAAUGAAGGACCCCCAUCCAGACCCUCUUAAUUUCAUUGCAUUUAUAGAGUAUUUGAUUGUUGAUCUUUAAAAGCUAAUUGUUUGUUAUUUUAAAAAUUCUGCAUACAUGUAUGUACAGGCCUUUAAGACCAAUUUUUGAAGGAUUUUGUCAGUAACUUAAUAUCUGUAGGUAGUUCAUGUGAUAACAGGUUGAGCUUUCAUCCAAAAAAGUUUUUGCCAACCAGAACAAUAAGUUGGAUGCAUGUUUUGUUUUAAAAAAAUUAAGAAUUUAUGGCGU